GACGAACGCUGGCGGCGUGCUUAACACAUGCAAGUCGAACGGUGAAGCUCCAGCUUGCUGGAGUGGAUCAGUGGCGAACGGGUGAGUAACACGUGAGCAACCUGCCCCUGACUCUGGAAUAAGCGCUGGAAACGGCGUCUAAUACUGGAUACGAGAAGGGUCCGCAUGGGCACUUUCUGGACAGUUUUUCGGUUGGGGAUGGGCUCGCGGCCUAUCAGCUUGUUGGUGAGGUAAUGGCUCACCCAGGCGACGACGGGUAGCCGGCCUGAGAGGGCGACCGGCGACACGGGGACUGAGACACGGCCGAGAGGGCUACGGGUGGCUGUAGGUGGGAAUAUGGCACAAUGGGCGAAAGCCGGAUGCAGCGACGCCGCGUGAGGGAUGACGGCCUUCGGGUUGGAAACCUCGUUCAGUAGUGAAGAAGCGAAAGUGACGGGAUCUGCAGAAGAAGCACCGGCUAACUACGUG
rnacentral:rRNA from 1 species